GCCCCCUUAGCUCAGGGGAUAGAGCACCGGCCUCCGGAGCCGGGUGCGCAGGUUCGAAUCCUGCAGGGGGCACCU
rnacentral:tRNA from 1 species